GUGGGGAAUAUUGGGCAAUGGGCGAAAGCCUGACCCAGCAACGCCGCGUGAAGGAAGAAGGUCUUCGGAUCGUAAACUUCUAUCCUUGGUGAAGAUAAUGACGGUAGCCGAGAAGGAAGCCCCGGCUAACUACGUGCCAGCAGCCGCGGUAAUACGUAGGGGGCAAGCGUUGUCCGGAAUGAUUGGGCGUAAAGGGCGCGUAGGCGGCCUGGUAAGUCUGGAGUGAAAGUCCUGCUUUUAAGGUGGGAAUUGCUUUGGAUACUGUCGGGCGUGAGUGCAGGAGAGGUAGGUGGAAUUCCCGGUGUAGCGGUGAAAUGCGUAUAGAGCGGGAGGAACACCAGUGGCGAAGGCGACUUACUGGACUGUAACUGACGCUGAGGCGCGAAAGUGUGGGGAGCAAACAGGAUUAGAAACCCGAGUAGUCC
rnacentral:rRNA from 1 species